rnacentral:lncRNA from 1 species
CCUUUCUCUCUUUCCCAGCCAUGGCCUCUCAGCCACCAGUCACCUCUUCCCCCAACCCCCUGACCUCCCACUUCUCUUCUCAAUUCAACUGCUCUUCAGGAUUUCUGGUUGCACUACCUCUGGAGACAAGACUCUAGCAUUUGUUCUUGUAAGUUAAUCUUUUCUUAGUCCCUUUGCCUUGUUCUCCUUUCUUUGCUUCCCCUACUCACCAGGGAAGUUUCCACUUCACUCCCUACCCUCCUAUGUGCUCCUUCUUUGCCUCCUUGAUAUCCAGCUCGAAGCCCAUAUUCUCCAGAAAGAGAAAAUUUUUUUGGGAGACCGAGAUCUUCCUCUUCCCUGAGUCCCCUACCAAUGAUUCUCUCCCUCUUGUGGGUUUCUGCAGGGCUAGCAGUGCAUCCAUCAAACCAUUAGGGCCUCCAUGUGGAGAGGCCAGUUGGCUCCCUUUUUAGGAAGCUCUGCCCUUCCCUUCCAGCAGACCCAGAGUGGAAAGGGCCCAGGGUCCCUGCCUUAAGCUUUGUCAAGGGUGCCAUAUGUCAAGGGUGCCAUAUGAUGUUUUGUCUUGGGCCCAAGGGGCCUCAAACUGUAAGGAAAAACCCUCUCUGAUGGUUUCCUGGCUCAGACUUCUGCAAUUAACAGGACUUCUGCAACUAACCACCUUCUUGUCUGCCCACAUACAUGAUACUGACCUUCUUUUAUUCUCUCCUCUGUACAGAGUUACCUGACCCUCAGGAAGAUUUAGGCUUUUUUUUUUUCUCCCAUCUCACCUUGUAUAAAUAUGUCUUCUCAGUAUAGUAAUGUCAUUGGAUUGAGGAUACUUGUUUGCAGAGGAGGCAAGAAUGCGUUGUUCCGUUUUUGAAUUCCACACAUCUAAUAUGGAGCCUGAGCCACAGGGCUCAAAAUGUUAAGUAAACAAAUGAAUGGGAAAUUAAUAAGAAGAAUGCAUUGGCAAGACCGUGAAGGUACAUUUCUAGGAGUGAAUGUGAGUCUGUCGGACCAUGUGGCAAUGUGUAUUUGUAAUUCUUUUUAAAUGCACAAGUUUGAGGACUGUGUUGAGUAUUGGGUAGUAUCUCUUUGAAGUGUAUUUUUUACUUGACUGUGCUUUUAAAUAAAGAAUGGCUGUGUCAGUAUGAUCUUGGCUAUGUCUAAUUACUAUUUUUGUGAAGGCCUGCCAUGGGAAGCUUUGGGAAGAAGCCAGCUGCCAUGUUGUGAGAACUCUCAAGCAGCUGUGUGGAGAGAUCCAUGUGGUGAGGAACUGAAGCCUCCUACCCACCAUCAAGUCAGUGGCUCACUACUGUUGCAGUGAAUUCUCCAGCCCAUGAAGACUUUAGAUGAUUUACCCAACAUCUUGAUUAUAGCCUCAUGGAUUCCCUGAGCCAGAACAACCCAGCUAAGCCUCUCCUGAAUUCCUUACCUACAGAAACUGUGAGAUAAUAAAUAUUUAUUCUUUUAAGCCAUCA